rnacentral:lncRNA from 1 species
CACACACACAGGCAGAGAAAGGGAGUAAGACAGAAGACAGACACAGUGAGAGAGACAGACAGAGAGAGAGAGAAAUAGGCAGAGAGAGACAGAGAGAGAGAGAAGACGGAGAAAGAGAGACAGAGAGAGGAGGAGGAAGGGCGUGCUCAGGAAAUAAUUACACAUAUUUUAUAACGCUUUUGAUCCCAUAAACGGUGGCCGAGGUGUGCUUUGAAAACAACAACAACAACAGCAACAAGAGCAGCAGCAGCAGCAAGAGCAGCAGCAGCAUUCACUUACGGAUUUCUAGAACAUAAGAUGUUCUGAAGAGUAGUAAACAUCAACCGGCUCUCACUAUACGUUCAGAGAUUCACAAAAUCGUUAGUAAACAACAGGAGAAAACCGCAGCUUACAUGUCUUGGGGAAAAUAUACGUCUUCCUGAAAACUGGGGAUUUCUACUUCAUCUAAAAAGAAAUACAUAAGAAAAAGGAAAAACACGAACGAAACAAAACAAGCCAACAAACACGGGCCAAGGCACUGUCCCUGGAAAUCUUAAGUGAGCAAAGUAUUAGUUUUCAGAAAGCGUUUCUAUUUUGGACAAAUACUAAGAAGGCCCAGACUAGAGCUGUGACGUCAUUCCUAUUGUGAAACUAUGCUGGCCGGAGGGCGGAGAAACUAAAACAUCAUGAUAAAAGGUGAUUGAAACCCAGCCGGGGUGAAGGUUUCCUAGGGAGGGAGGCCUGAGGAAGGAAGCGGGGUAAAAAACCCACAACUGCAGACCCGCCCGCUUGCCGACGCGGGUCAAGGGCUAUGCCAUCGGCCCAAGCUGCCUCUGGGGAAGUGGGACCGUGCCACCCCCAUCUUCAAAAACGGUGGCCACUGAGUAAGGCCUGACGCCCACCGUUGCAAAUGUCAGCCUGAGACUGACAUCCUCUGCCCCAUGCUUUUCAAUUUUCUAGGACUGGACUUCCCCUUCAAUGAUCAUUCUUCUAGGUUACAAAGAAGAUCAAAGCCCUUUGCAUGGCUUACAAGGGACUGGAGGACCUGGCUGCUUGCUCUUUCAUUCCUUUUGAGGACAUGGGGCCGUCUGUGAUUUUUAAGGAACUCUAUGUUAAACAUUUUCUAAUUUCCAUUUUGAGUCUUGUCUAAAAUGUGUGAGAGUAGUGGAGAUAUUGGGAUUUGGUUUAGAAAUCCCAGAAACACCACAUCCAGAUGUCUUAUGUUUUCUGCUUUAUAAUUUCAUAUCCUGUGAAGGUUUCAAAUGUGAUUCUACAGAAAUUCAUACUCAAUAAUUUUAUCAGAACACUAAGCAUCUGCCCCAUAUAGUAAAACCUAAUGUUAUUUUACUUCAAAAUUUUAAGUUUUUGGUAUGUAUUGAGGCUAAUAUUGUAAACACUCUGUGCCAUAAUUCCUAAACUGUAAUAUGGUUUAAAGUAUCUACUUUCUUCAUUUAAAACAUGUACUUUGCCAUUGAGGAAGUCAGAAUAUUGCUGAGCAUGUAUUAAAUACCCAUUUGUUUCCUGUUUUUUAACUAGUUAUCAUUUUAUAAUUUUCUCUUGUUUAGUUUGAAGCUUACUAGGAUUUUUUCAUUGAUAUGUAUGCAUAUAUAUAUACACACACACAAGUAUAUACAUAACAACAUAUGUAAUUGAUAUAUAUGUAUAAGCUUUAUAUAUGUGUAUAUACACACUUAUGUGAAUAUAUGCAUGUGUACAUAACAUUAAUUUUCUGACCAAUAAAAAUUGCAUAAUUAUGUAUAGUGUACAUUAUAAAAAUUUGAUAUGUAUAUAUAUUGUAAGAUGUUUAAUACAAUUAAGGUGAUGAACAUUUAUGUCACCUCACAUGGUUAUGUUUUUUGUAGUGAGAGAAUUUGAGGUAUCCUACUGUUGCAGCAAAUUUUAAGCAUAGAAAACACUGUUAUUAACUACAUCUUAAAGCUAUACAUUAGACCCCCAAAACUUAUUUAUCUUAUAACUGGAAGUUUGAACUCUUUGAACACCUUAUCAUUUUUUCUACCUCCAGGCCUGGUCAUUACCAUUGUACUCUCUGCUUCUAUGAGUUCAGGCUUUUUAAAUUGUC